UACCUUUCACCUUUCUACUUUUAAAUGCCAGUUUAAAAGUAGAUGUAAAUGCCAUUCUAUAUUUAAAAUGCCAGUUUUAAAUACAAAUAUCAUAGUAUUCACACACGGAAUUACACAGUACAGAAAUCACACAAUGUGUGAGUUAUGAUUUGCCCCGGGGGUGUCUUGAACUGUCCAGAAGAGGCAAACGCUAGAGAGACAGAGGAAGAUUAUAAAGAGGAAAGGAGCCCUCCCAAUCCACCCCCAAGCUCAGAGCCAGAGUACGAGGCGCUCCAGGGGCCAGCGGACACUCUCUUCAGGACGGCCCCGCAGGGCGCAUCCCUCCCGCAGGCAGGCAGCGAAGAAGGCCGGCGCCGGGCUGCUGGGUUCAGCUCCUGCCAGCUGCUGACCGCGGCGCCGCGCCCUCGCCGGGCGAAGUCUAGCGACUUCAGGCCAGGUGUCUCUCCUUCCCCAGGGCCCGCCGCCCACACCGGGGCAGAAAAGCGACUCCCAACGGUAUGAAGACCUUCGCAUCGGUCCAGCUCUCGCCCCUGGACCCGGCUGCGAGGCAUGUGGGAUCCUAGCCCCCUGACCAGGGAUUGAACCCACACCCCCUGCACUGGAAGGCUAAGCCAAUGCUGGACUGCCAGGGAAGACUCUGCUGUUUCUUAUAAAGCUAAAGGGCAAGUUGAACUAACAGACGUCCCUCCCCCCCUCCACAACUAUGGGACCAUCUGGUUGAAGAAUCAUAAUCGGAGAUAUUUUGGCUCCUGAAACAAUUAACGAAUGUCGCAAGACAAUGAUUAAUCCCAGCCUCUUCAUUCUUCCUCUUUAAAAACCCUAACUCAGAGACUAAGGUGAAGUAAAUCUGAGGCUUGUCUCCCACUCCCUUGCUUAGAACCUGCAAUAAACUUAGAACCUGCUUAGAA